rnacentral:rRNA from 1 species
AGCGAACGCUGGCGGCAGGCUUAACACAUGCAAGUCGAGCGGGCACUUUCGGGUGUCAGCGGCGGACGGGCGAGUAACGCGUGGGAACGUGCCCUCUGGUUCGGAAUAACUCAGGGAAACUUGAGCUAAUACCGGAUACGCCCUUUUGGGGAAAGGCUUGCUGCCGGAGGAUCGGCCCGCGUCUGAUUAGCUAGUUGGUGAGGUAACGGCUCACCAAGGCGACGAUCAGUAGCUGGUCUGAGAGGAUGAUCAGCCACACUGGGACUGAGACACGGCCCAGACUCCUACGGGAGGGAGCAGUGGGGAAUAUUGGACAAUGGGCGCAAGCCUGAUCCAGCCAUGCCGCGUGAGUGAUGAAGGCCUUAGGGUUGUAAAGCUCUUUUAUCCGGGACGAUAAUGACGGUACCGGAGGAAUAAGCCCCGGCUAACUUCGUG